rnacentral:rRNA from 1 species
AGGCUUAACACAUGCAAGUCGAGGGGCAGCAUGGUCUUAGCUUGCUAAGGCCGAUUGCCACCCGAGCACGGGUGGGUAAACCGUAUCCAACCUGCCGUCGUCUCUUGGACAGCCUUCUGAAAGGAAGAUUAAUACAAGAUGGCAUCAUGAGUCCGCAUGUUCACAUGAUUAAAGGUAUUCCGGUAGACGAUGGGGAUGCGUUCCAUUAGAUAGUAGGCGGGGUAACGGCCCACCUAGUCUUCGAUGGAUAGGGGUUCUGAGAGGAAGGUCCCCCACAUUGGAACUGAGACACGGUCCAAACUCCUACGGGAGGCAGCAGUGAGGAAUAUUGGUCAAUGGGCGAGAGCCUGAACCAGCCAAGUAGCGUGAAGGAUGACUGCCCUAUGGGUUGUAAACUUCUUUUAUAAAGGAAUAAAGUCGGGUAUGGAUACCCGUUUGCAUGUACUUUAUGAAUAAGGAUCGGCUAACUCCGUGCCAGCAGCCGCGGUAAUACGGAGGAUCCGAGCGUUAUCCGGAUUUAUUGGGUUUAAAGGGAGCGUAGAUGGAUGUUUAAGUCAGUUGUGAAAGUUUGCGGCUCAACCGUAAAAUUGCAGUUGAUACUGGAUAUCUUGAGUGCAGUUGAGGCAGGCGGAAUUCGUGGUGUAGCGGUGAAAUGCUUAGAUAUCACGAAGAACUCCGAUUGCGAAGGCAGCCUGCUAAGCUGCAACUGACAUUGAGGCUCGAAAGUGUGGGUAUCAAACAGGAUUAGAUACCCUGGUAGUCCACACGGUAAACGAUGAAUACUCGCUGUUUGCGAUAUACUGCAAGCGGCCAAGCGAAAGCGUUAAGUAUUCCACCUGGGGAGUACGCCGGCAACGGUGAAACUCAAAGGAAUUGACGGGGGCCCGCACAAGCGGAGGAACAUGUGGUUUAAUUCGAUGAUACGCGAGGAACCUUACCCGGGCUUAAAUUGCAGAUGAAUUACGGUGAAAGCCGUAAGCCGCAAGGCAUCUGUGAAGGUGCUGCAUGGUUGUCGUCAGCUCGUGCCGUGAGGUGUCGGCUUAAGUGCCAUAACGAGCGCAACCCUUGUUGUCAGUUACUAACAGGUUCCGCUGAGGACUCUGACAAGACUGCCAUCGUAAGAUGUGAGGAAGGUGGGGAUGACGUCAAAUCAGCACGGCCCUUACGUCCGGGGCUACACACGUGUUACAAUGGGGGGUACAGAGGGCCGCUACCACGCGAGUGGAUGCCAAUCCCCAAAACCUCUCUCAGUUCGGACUGGAGUCUGCAACCCGACUCCACGAAGCUGGAUUCGCUAGUAAUCGCGCAUCAGCCACGGCGCGGUGAAUACGUUCCCGGGCCUUGUACACACCGCCCGUCAAGCCAUGGGAGCCGGGGGUACCUGAAGUGCGUAACCGCGAGGAGCGCCCUAGGGUAAAACUGGUGACUGGGGCU